rnacentral:lncRNA from 1 species
AAAUUAAUCAUAAUUUCCUACAUAUAAAAAAAUAAUUCAUUUUGCCAAAUCUCAUAAUAUUUUGAAACAUGUGCGUAAAUAAACAGGCGUUUGUCAAAGCCUGGUGUGCCGCAUGCAAAUCACCCACCCCCGCUAAAGUAGUAGUCCCACCGGGGGAGUACCUCACCGGAGUGACGAAGCUGCUUGGUCCAUGCAAUGCUCCGAUCGAGCUUGAAAUCAACGGCAUCAUCAAGGCACCCAAGGCCGUUGCUGGUGAAGACUGGUUGCUCAUCGAAAGUAUCAACGAUAUCAGGGUAUUUGGCACCGGCACAGUCGAUGGCCAAGGUGCAGAAUGCUGGGAGAAAAAGAUAAAGGAUGAUCGUUCACCGGUAAGUAUCCGUUUUACUGUAAUUUUAUACCGACAUUUCGUAUCUAAUUAACUUAUACAUAUGAUGUUAUUAACGUUACUUUUAUGGGGCGAGUGUUCAGAACAUUAGGUUCCAGCGCAUCAACAACGGGUUGGUUGAGGGGCUCACGAGCAAAGACAGCAAGUUCUUCCACAUGUCCACCCUCGGCGCCAAGAACUUGACCUUCAGACACCUGCACUUCAUUGCUCCGGCCGAGAGCAGGAACACCGAUGGCAUCCACGUCAGCAGGUCAUCAUUCAUCACAAUUAUCGACACCAUCUUCGAGACGGGCGAUGAUUGUGUCUCCAUAGCCGACGACAUCGAUACAGUUACCGUCAAGAACGUGAAGUGCGGGCCCGGCCACGGCAUCAGCAUCGGGAGCUUAGGGAAGUACGACACGGAGAAGCCGGUGAAGAAUAUCUGGGUCCAGAACUGCACCAUCUCCAACUCCGAUAACGGGGUCAGGAUCAAGUCGUGGCCUGACAGGUUCGCCACAUCGUUGACCGGCGUCCGUUUCGAGGACAUCACAUUGGACAACGUCGCGAACCCAAUCAUCGUCGACCAGCUGUACUGCCCUAAUAACGAGUGUAAGGGCAAGGUAUGUAGGCACAUUUGACAAGGUUAUUUGUUAUCAAAUGGUUCCAUCCCAAUAACUCUAAAGUCUUUUAUUAAUUUUCUGUGCAUUUAUAGUUGGGCCCGAGCAAGGUGCAGAUCAGCGACAUAACGUUCAAGAACGUGAAGGGAACUUCGAGUACGAAAGAGAUCAUCCAGCUCGUUUGUAGCAAAACCCUUCCUUGCGAGAACAUCCAAAUGACCGACAUUGAUAUCUCUUUCAAAGGUGCUGUUGGUGAAGCAGUCUGCGAGAAUGUGAAGCCGGUGCUUUCAGGGGUCAUCAACCCACCAGGUUGCGGUGACGCCAAACAAGAAUUAUAGAGACCGCACGCACUUUAUAUAUUAGUAUCUACUCUUAUUUUUGAUCGAUUUAUCAUUCAUUUUUGGAAUCUGAUUGGAAUAAUGGAGAAGUAAAAAGACUUUGGCGGCGAUUUAUAAUAAGCAUUUUGAAUAUCUGUAUUCAAGAAUAUAAAAUAUGUACAAUGAAAGAUGAGACUCUUCAUCAUAUUUCACAUUCCACUUAAAAUUUUAAAAGCGACUCGCUAUGCAGUUGCCGUUUUCAUAUUUAUAUCCUCUUUUAUCCUUCCGAAAAAAAUUAUCUUCUGAAAAAUGAAGACUGACAAUAAAGUUUCGUGGAAAAUAGAAAAUUUCUUUAUCGAAUUGAAACUGAUGAUUUAUGCCUCCUCUUUCUUAGUCUUAGAGCGUUUAAAGUAAAGAGCAUGACUCUACCGCUUCAGUUAAAAGAGUUUUUUUAUUAAAUUCAAUACAUAUGCUAAUAAUAUAAACUAUGAUAAUAUGUUAUAGCAUUCGUGUGUCUGUUACAAGAUGGCAAAACUAAAUAGUUCAGAUGAAAUCUAAUGUGAAAAAAAUUAAAAUAAAAUUAAGAAAGAAUAUGUUCGACGGAAGGUUUAGAAUAUGUGAGACUGAAGGAUGAUCCAGAAUUGAGGUUCUUUCUCUCCUACUGUACACCGAAUUUUCCUCGAAUUGUAGUUCAAUCAAUCAGAGCACCACCCUAUCAAGACGAAAGGUGCGGGUUCGAUCCCCGUCCUUCCCGACCUAAGAUCCUUCUUUCGUUUCGUAUGUAUCAUCGGACAAAUCACGGCAAAGAAAACAAAUGACAAUAACUAGUACGGUUUGAUGGGGAAGAUACAUAUUAAGGAUUCAACCAAUAACACAACAUUGACAUUCUGUAGGGGAAAAACUGUGGAUCGAGAUAGCAUCAAAGGGCAGGCACUCUACCGAAAAAAUGCUUCAUGCUAGGAAUGUAAGCUACCUGACCAAACUAGUGAUACGAAAAGACAACCUGCCCAGUGUCGGAAGUAAAUAAACCAAAAAGUAAUCAAACCUUCUCCUUUUAUCGUACCAAAAAAUCUUAAAGAUGUUUAGAUUUCUAAUUAUUUGCUCCUUAUUAGUAACUGCUUCCAUAAAAAUUCUAAAUCGUUGUUCAACCCAAAAAGACAUAUGCAAUAGAUCAUCUGAUUAUGCCUAUCUGUCGAAGAUUUUUCUUUUUAAUUCAGCUGUUUUUUCGCUCGUUCAAACAAUUUCAUUAGGUUGGCCUUAAUUAUAACAUCACUUCUUUCUCCACCGUCUCGGGCUCCAACACAUCCACUGGAGAAAGAUUUAGAUCAACGUCCAACUGAGAACCGGGGGUUUGAGAUUGAUGGGCUACCACCCUCCCCCCAUCCCCGACCAAAGAAGACAUCAUUAUGUUCCCUGAAUCAAGGAGAGAAAAUAAUUUCUGUUAAAAUGCCCAUCACACCAUCCUACUCGACUAAAAAGCAAGUUGACUGAUUUAUGGUGGAUUUCUUUUAUCCAAAAAAUACUUCUUAUUAAUUCGAGUAAUACAAAAACGAAAUAACAUAUAAUGGAAACAAGUAGUAGAAUUAGAAACGAAUAUAGAAAUUGACGGAAUCGAGUUCGCUCGACCAAUCCAUAAUAGAGGUUAGAAGUAGCUCUUUCGAAGUGAGAGGUUAGAGAAAUCUCUAAGAUACGUAGCAAAUGAUAUUCAUGUGAUAGUAGUUAGUUUAAUUUAUUUAUCGGGCUUGGACCAUGUCUCCCAAACAAUCGAAGUAUAUAUGGUGCAAAACGGUUCCACAUAUUGAGGGCAAAAUGUGGCAUUGCUUCGUCGAUCCGAACUAUAACCCGAGCAAAGGCGAGUAUUACCCUUGGAGGCUCCUUUCUCGUCCGGGCUAGUAAAAAGGUUAUAAGAACUGUAGCUAACAAGUGUUCCUUGAGGGGAUUCUUACUUUGUUAAUUACUAGUACAUAUUUAUCUAUGUUUGAAUUUUUUCGACUUCACCUCUGUGUGAUGUGAGUCAUUUAUUAUGUGACAUAAAAAAAACUUUUAGAUGUUUCUUUUGCGUAUAGUGAAUCGCAAGUAUAAUUAAAUGUAAAAUUUUGUGAAAAUUAGUGAUGUAAUACUUGUGAUGGUUAUAAAUAUGUUCAAUUAAUCAAAACUGAAAAAUAAUGAGGCCAAACAGUUAUCUCUCUUAGGAGAGUUCCGCCAGAGCCAAACUUGGAAUUUUCCAACACUAGCCGCAAUCCUAAUUCCCAACCAUCCUUAGCACCAGAAUCGAACACCUCAAUCCGUCGAAGCCUUUAAACAGCCGCAAUCCUACUGCUCAAGUCACCCCCAUCACCGACGCCAAACAUCCAAUUCAUCAAAGCCUUCAAACCAUCACGACGCCAACCAACGAUCUUCUUACACCAGCUAGCCUUCUCAUGAACAAUACAGGCGACGCAACCAGUGGAGGGAACUCCACAUCAACCAGGCCGACAGUCCGUAACUCUUUCGGUUGCUCCAUGAAUAACAUCGAAGCCGCCCCCGCCGGUGGGAGCCUGCGCCCGUCCGGCCGGCGCCUCCUAACACCUCCCGCCCCUCCAAUAGGCUCUGCAGCAUCGACAGCAUCAUAAGCCGUCAUCUCAACCCUAACCGGCUCCGCACAACAAUCUACCCCAAACCGGACCUUAAUGAUCGCAACAACCGAUCUAAUUAAUGACCGUCCAGUGGUCCUCAUCCCCAAGUUAGCAGCAUUAUCCUUAGCCGAUGUUGUCAGCCAUCCGCCAGUCUGGGAAUAUGAAUACUGUAUCGUGGGAACUUUCCCCACGAAGAAGGAGAUUAAUUUCUUCGCUAUGAAAAAGUGUUUACCGAAUGCUUGGCAACCAAUCUGCGUGGUCGAGAUCACGCAGCUGGAAGAUCAUUGUCUACUCUUCCGAUUUGCACGCGACGUUGAUGUUUGGAAUGUGAUAGGCCACGACCGUUGGUUCUUCGACAAACAGUUGCUGAGCACUCAUGAACUUCAAAUGGGCGAAACCCCGAUCAGGUAUCGCUCCAAACGAUGGACAUGUGGAUCCGCAUUCAUAACCUACCGUUUGGUUACUUCUCAGAGGAAGUAGGAAGAUUACUAGGGGGUUUGGCAGGGGACUACAUUGGAUAUGACGAGAAAAACCGUAUAGCUUACGUGAAUGCCUACAUGAGACUGAGAGUCGCUUUGGAUAUUGGCAAACCCUUACUUAAGGAGCGUCCAGUCACUCUCCAUAAGGAUGUCGAGAUCACCUGUAAAUACAAAUACGAGCGACUACCCAAUUUCUGUUUUAUCUGUGGGAUUAUGGGACAUGUAGAGAAAAGUGCGAGUUGCGACUCGAAUUUUCAGAUGAACAGCUAGCUUUCCAAUGAGAUGACUCAAUUAGGGUACCUUCCUGAAAAAAAAUCCAAAAUAAAGCUGCUAAUAGGUGGGAUCUAAAAAAACCCAAAAGAUAGCAUUCGCAAGAUAAAUCACCCCGUCGAAACGACAUCUACAACUCAACGCCCUAGGGAAACAUUCCAUACGAACAAGGCACCCGUAAUUCAUGUUGAGGCACCCAUCACAGACCAUAACCAGAACAUCAAAGUUGAUACAACUAACACCGACGCUAGGCAACGAAGACGUUGCGAGCUGAUGACAUCAGAUGCAAUGGAAACCAAGCUAGAUAGUCGGUCUUCAAAAUCAUCAAAGGAGACCGAACAAGAAUUGUCACUAGCUCCGUGUCAGCUUGACUUGCAGGGGCGGGCGAACCAACCAUAUUCGAUUACAAGCUGCACGAUUGAGACUUAGCCGCCCUCAAUCGUGCAACCCGUGUCCCGACUGCUGUUUUAUUUGUUUUGUAUUUCCUUUCUUGUUCUUUUAGCUUUUGGAACUUGCGGUUUUCUUGCUCAUACCGGUGAUCCCUGUCUGGAUGUUCUGUCAUUGGACAGAAAGGAUUGAGAUGUUUGUUUUUGCAAGGCUCCGCAAUCCAUGUUAGCCUCGUUAGUGAGGACUGCACCUCCAAUUGGAAUCCACGUAAGCUUCAUAUUGUUACGAUGUCAUGAUAAUAAUAUGUUUUGAUUUGGUAAAAAAAAUAUCUUCAAUUAAUCAGAGUAUUUGGAGUUGGGACACGUUCAAAUCCACAUUAUUAGGGGAACAGUUGAUAUUAUCUAAACAUAGACUUAAAAAUAAGACUAUAGAUAGGUAAUUUUAAAAAUCAACCCUUAAUAAUCGGCAUGAAUAACCUUAUGAACCCUCAUUAUAAAUACUAUAAUUCGAUUCAAGGAUUCACAAAUCAAUAAAUAGUGCUUAACAAACAAUAAUUUAAUUUCGAGAUCGCAAUCAAAUAUGAAGGGAUCAUCAUCAAUCGUAGCAUUGCUAUUAGCAAUGGUAAUGUACGGAAGAACGAGCGCUCACGAUCAAGCUAUAUUCGAUGUUAUGAAAUUCGGUGCAGUUUGCGAUGGAGCUACAGACAAUUCUCAGGUCCUUCUUUAAAAAGCUCAAUUUAUGCUUUAAUUAUAACAUUUUUUUUUCUGUCAUUUCAACUAGUUUCAUGAUAUAUGAAAUUAUUCCAAUCCGAACAAAAUUAAUCAUAAUUUCCUACAUAUAAAAAAAUAAUUCAUUUUGCCAAAUCUCAUAAUAUUUUGAAACAUGUGCGUAAAUAAACAGGCGUUUGUCAAAGCCUGGUGUGCCGCAUGCAAAUCACCCACCCCCGCUAAAGUAGUAGUCCCACCGGGGGAGUACCUCACCGGAGUGACGAAGCUGCUUGGUCCAUGCAAUGCUCCGAUCGAGCUUGAAAUCAACGGCAUCAUCAAGGCACCCAAGGCCG